UACAGAGGUGCCAAGCGUUAGGCGGAAUCACUGGCUUAAAGGCGCGAUGUAGGUGGACGGGUAAGUAUCUUGUGAAAUCCCACGGCUCAACCGUGGAACUGCUGGGUAUACUGGCGAUCUUGAGCAGCUUAGGGGCAGACGGAACAAGUGGUGGAGCGGUGAAAUGCGUAGAUAUCACUUGGAACGCCGACGGUGAAAACAGUCUGCUGGGAGCUGACUGACGCUGAGACACGAAAGCCAGGGGAGCGAACGGG
rnacentral:rRNA from 1 species